rnacentral:ncRNA from 1 species
AGGAGCCAUAUGAAGUGAAAAUCUCAUGUACGGUUCUGUAGAGUGGCAGUAAGGGUAAGAGCAUACGAGACAUGCUUUAAUAGGGUUAUAUAAGUUACUUGAU